rnacentral:rRNA from 1 species
UACGUAGGGUGCGAGCGUUAAUCGGAAUUACUGGGCGUAAAGCGUGCGCAGGCGGUCCGCAAAGUCUGAUGUGAAAGCCCCGGGCUCAACCUGGGAACUGCAUUGGAAACUAACGGGCUCGAGUGUGGCAGAGGGGGGUGGGAAUUCCACGUGUAGCAGUGAAAUGCGUAGAGAUGUGGAGGAACACCGAUGGCGAAGGCAGCCCCCUGGGCUAACACUGACGCUCAGGCACGAAAGCGUGGGGAGCAAACAGG